AAGCCCCGGCAGAAUUUCUUCUGCUUCUAGAGGUUUGCGGUCUCAAUUCAGGGCC
rnacentral:tRNA from 1 species